rnacentral:rRNA from 1 species
AUUGAGCGCUGGCGGCAGGCUUAACACAUGCAAGUCGAGCGGAGUGAUGGUGCUUGCACUAUCACUUAGCGGCGGACGGGUGAGUAAUGCUUAGGAAUCUGCCUAUUAGUGGGGGACAACAUCUCGAAAGGGAUGCUAAUACCGCAUACGUCCUACGGGAGAAAGCAGGGGAUCACUUGUGACCUUGCGCUAAUAGACGAGCCUAAGUCGGAUUAGCUAGUUGGUGGGGUAAAGGCCUACCAAGGCGACGAUCUGUAGCGGGUCUGAGAGGAUGAUCCGCCACACUGGGACUGGGACACGGCCCAGACUCCUACGGGAGGCAGCAGUGGGGAAUAUUGGACAAUGGGGGGAACCCUGAUCCAGCCAUGCCGCGUGUGUGAAGAAGGCCUUAUGGUUGUAAAGCACUUUAAGCGAGGAGGAGGCUACUUUAGUUAAUACCUAGAGAUAGUGGACGUUACUCGCAGAAUAAGCACCGGCUAACUCUGGGCCAGCCGCCGCCGUAA